UGACUGCCUACGGGGCGCAGCAGUGGGGAAUAUUGCACAAUGGGCGCAAGCCUGAUGCAGCCAUGCCGCGUGUGUGAAGAAGGCCUUCGGGUUGUAAAGCACUUUCAGUCGUGAGGAAGGUGGUAGUGUUAAUAGCACUAUCAUUUGACGUUAGCGACAGAAGAAGCACCGGCUAACUCCGUGCCAGCAGCCGCGGUAAUACGGAGGGUGCGAGCGUUAAUCGGAAUUACUGGGCGUAAAGCGCAUGCAGGUGGUUGUUAAGUCAGAUGUGAAAGCCCGGGGCUCAACCUCGGAAUAGCAUUUGAAACUGGCAGACUAGAGUACUGUAGAGGGGGGUAGAAUUUCAGGUGUAGCGGUGAAAUGCGUAGAUCAGUCA
rnacentral:rRNA from 1 species